CCCCCAGCGAAGUCUUAUCGGGUUAGUUCCCUGCGGUUUUGAAAUAGGGAGUCAGAGAAUACUCUGUGUGUGUGCUUAUUUUCACUUCUUAUCCUUAUUCCUAAGCAUUCGGGCCUGGGACCUGGGCUGGAGGCCAAGUCUGCCUAGUAGACACUGUAUUCUACUCAUAAUUCUUCCCCACCCCCAGUGGCUGAGACAUGUGAUCAGAUAGAGCUGUCGGCGCUGCACACAGGAUUCCUUCGCCCGUCCGUUCCGAAUGCAGUCAUUUUCAUCUACUCACCCCACGCUCCCAGGCCCUCCCACACUCCCCGCCGCCCUCUGGAUGAAUGAUUUCAAAUGCUCCUCACGUCUCCUCUAGUUGCAAACCUAGAGGGCCACGUCUUGGUGGUUCUUCUAAAGGAGUGAAAAAUGACCAACUCGGAGCAUAGCUGAGGACGUAUGACGCGGAGAAGAGAGCAGACAGUGCUGCCAGUGAGGACACCAUGUGCUGUAACCACGGGACUAAAAUUUUGAAAGGGACAGCAAGAGAUGAAUUAAAGCUUAU